CAAAGUGCUUACAGUGCAGGUAGUACUAUGCAACGCUACUGCAGUGGAGGCACUUCUAG
ensembl:miRNA gmo-mir-17-1 gmo-mir-17-1